GUCGGGGAGAAAGUAGCGCGGACCUGCGUGGGGCGAUGCCGAGCGUUUUGGCUGUGAUCCAGAACGCCUGAUGCGUCAGAAGGCAGACGCGACAUUCAGCUUGGGAAUUAGCAGUUGGCGAGAAAGUAGCGUGGACCUGCGUGGGGCGAUGCCAAGCGUUUUGGCCGGGAUCCAGAACGCCUGAUGCGUGAGAAGGCAGGCGCGGCAUUCAGCUUGGGAAAGGACUGCUCGCGCUGCUCCUGCGCUCGCCGUCCCCUGUUGGCGUGGAGCGAACUAGCUGUGGAAUGCUGACGUCACCGACCGCUCAACGGCUGGUUACGUCAUCCGAUAGCAAGCGCAGCAAUCAAUAACGGAG
rnacentral:lncRNA from 1 species